rnacentral:lncRNA from 1 species
GGAACUGAUGAAAGGAGUUCUGUAAACAAGUUUUAGGGCCGUGGAACUACAGGUACCCUGAAGACUCACAGAGACUUAAAACCCGUGUAUCCUCGGGAACAAGAGAAAAUUCUGGUCUAGCCUAGCCUUUAAAUACUAUGUUACUCUACCCGUUUAUAUGGCUGAAGUCAUGUCCUAAGUUUGACAUAAGAUGUUUGCUUUUGCACGUUGUGUGGAGGUGAUUGUAAAUUGGUUCAGCUGGCCUUCUUCGGCUUAUGCUACACUUUGCACAGAAUCAGUUUGGAUGAUUUUACUGCAAGUCACAAGAAAACAACGUUUCAGAUGUCUUCAUUGCUAGAAGGAAAUGAUUAUGUAACUGAUCAGGAGGGAGAGCCAUUUCUGAGGCAGGUGAUCUUCCAGCUUAAUGAAGCCAUCCCAUCCUGCUGCCCUGAUCCUCAAAACAAACAUCUCCUGGGUAAUGGGUGACAGCUGAGACUCCAGGCAGCCAGAUUGAGAGGAAUAUGUCUCUUUUGAAAGAUAAGCUCCUGUGGAAGGACCCUGUACAGACUUUCCACUGUAGCUCCCUGUCUAGCGUGGGUCAUCGUCUCUUUCUUCCUAACCUCCAUCCUCAUUCCUUCCCUCUCCGCUUCUCUUUCUUCCUUUGUUAAGAUCCUGGUGUAGCCUAGAUUCAUCUUAAAUUCACUGUGUAGCGAUGACCUUGAACUUCUGGUCUCCCUGCCUAUACCUCUUAAAUAUUGGGAUUGUAGAUUAGUGCCACCAGGCCAGAAGUGGUGGCUUAUCUUGGUUGGCAACCUGACACGCCUCACAAGAGAUCCCCUCAAUUAAGGAAUAGCCUUUGUCAGUUUGGCCUAUAAGCAAGUCUUCAGGUGUGGGGAUGGAGGUGGGGGUAAUUCUCCAUUGCUAAUUGAUGAAACAGGGUGUCACCUAAUGUGGGCCACGCUAUCCCUCAGCAAGUAGACCUGAGGUGUGUUACACAGACGCAGAUGCAGGGAGCAAGCCAGAGAGCAGCAUUCAUUCAUGGCCUCUGCUUCAGUUUCUUCUGUAAGCGCUUGCCUUGGCCUCCCUUGAUGAUGGAUGGACUCUAACCUGUAAGAUAAACCCUUUCCUCCCCAAGCUGUUUUUCAUGGUGUGUUUACCACAGCAGCAGAAGCCAAACUAAGACAGCAGGUUUAUUGAUUAGGGGGAAGGGAACCCAAGGCAUCAUGCAGGCUAAGCAAGCAUUUUCUAAUUGAGUUGCACUCCCACGCCACCUCAUAGACUGUUACAGUUCAACAAUAGCCACCCUUCUAGGUCCAUUGGCUCUACGUCCAUGCAUUUAGUCAGUC